CCCCACGUGUCUGUGUAGACUGGAAUCAGCAACAUGGCAGCAUUAUACCCAGAUUUCUUACAUUGACAUAUUCAACACAGACAGGCUUGUGCGUUGCUGAAGCCGUUAAGAACAACCAGAGUAGGGUACAAAGAGGCAGGCGUGAUCUUUGUGUUACAGGUUUGGACUUCAGAGGUCUGUUGCCGAGGUUCCUCCCUGUCCUCUCAUCAUGGCCAGCGGGGAUGACGAUGACCCCAUCAUACAAGAGUUUGAUGUGUACUUGGCCAAAAGUCUUGCGGAUAAGCUGUAUCUGUUUCAGGUAAACACUAAAUGCU